GAACUGGGCGUAAAGCGCACGCAGGCGGUCUGUCAAGUCGGAUGUGAAAUCCCCGGGCUCAACCUGGGAACUGCAUUCGAAACUGGCAGGCUUGAGUCUUGUAGAGGGGGGUAGAAUUCCAGGUGUAGCGGUGAAAUGCGUAGAGAUCUGGAGGAAUACCGGUGGCGAAGGCGGCCCCCUGGACAAAGACUGACGCUCAGGUGCGAAAGCGUGGGGAGCAAACAGGAUUAGAUACCCCGGUA
rnacentral:rRNA from 1 species